rnacentral:rRNA from 1 species
AUUGAACGCUGGCGGCAGGCUUAACACAUGCAAGUCGAGCGGAGAGAGGUAGCUUGCUACCGAUCUUAGCGGCGGACGGGUGAGUAAUGCUUAGGAAUCUGCCUAUUAGUGGGGGACAACAUUUCGAAAGGAAUGCUAAUACCGCAUACGUCCUACGGGAGAAAGCAGGGGAUCUUCGGACCUUGCGCUAAUAGAUGAGCCUAAGUCGGAUUAACUAGUUGGUGGGGUAAAGGCCUACCAAGGCGACGAUCUGUAGCGGGUCUGAGAGGAUGAUCCGCCACACUGGGACUGAGACACGGCCCAGACUCCUACGGGAGGCAGCAGUGGGGAAUAUUGGACAAUGGGCGCAAGCCUGAUCCAGCCAUGCCGCGUGUGUGAAGAAGGCCUUAUGGUUGUAAAGCACUUUAAGCGAGGAGGAGGCUACUUUAGUUAAUACCUAGAGAUAGUGGACGUUACUCGCAGAAUAAGCACCGGCUAACUCUGUGCCAGCAGCCGCCGUAAAAC